rnacentral:tRNA from 1 species
UAUAGAGUAAACUAAUAUAAGUUUUUGAGCUCAUAACUCAACUAUGGUCUAACCCUCUAUAA